ensembl:lncRNA
AUUUAUUGGUGCGCCGUGUUUAUGUCCAGGAGUGUGGCUGAGGAGUAAUAUGGACAUGUUGAGCGAAUGUUUAUCUUUGUGAGUCUUUAACUUGAACGCCAUCGAGUGUGCUGGGAGGUGCGAGUUAUCUGCAGCCCUGCGGAUAUGCAGAGAAAUGAAGAGCUGCCCUGCUUAAGUUCCCAAAAAAACCACAGGUGGUCUACAGAGACAAUCGUCUGGCUUUUGCAAAACCUGGAAUUUGCUGUAGGGUGUUUAACAAACACCGUGCGUUUCCUCAAUAAAAGGAGCAAUGCAGUCAAGUAAGACCAGGAGCAUUCACAGCAUUCUGAAAAAAUGAACUGAGAGAAGAGGACAGUCAACACUGUCACCGUAGCCACCAGAUCCAUUCUGUAUCCAGAUCAGAUGGUCACUGCAUUCACCUGGAUCCAGUACGUAUCCAGCCCAAAUGGUGGAUCAGAACCUAGAGAUGAGCUUGACAGCCCUUAAUGUCAGCGGAGACCAGGACAACUAGAUGAGCCCCAGAGACAUAUCCCCAGUGAAGGCCUUGUCUCCUCGACAGCCAACGGAACAAGAUCACA